CAAGAAGACCAGUACUACAACUACCUUGGAAAUGGUAUAAAUGCGAUACCGUCACUCUAUAAUAUUACAUACUAUGUAAAGGCGAGACGAGCUUAUUACGAGGAAUACGACUUGACAUAUUUCCUUACGGGCUACGAUAUGAUUGUUCCAGGAGUCAAUGGAUGGGACAGAACCUACAGAGGCUUCGCCUUUUUGGGGUCUGCCUGCUUGGAUACACGUGAGCAGCUUGGCGAAGACAUUCCCAGCACUUUCAUAGGAAUUCGCACCAUGGUACACGAAAUGGCGCACACGUAAGGAACAUGCACUCAGUAGGCUGACUUCUAAGGAUUAAGUACCGCGUCGUGCUUUAACAUUUCACAAUGAAUGAAGAAACACACAGCUCCGAAGUAGGGUUGAAGGUGAAUAUGCAUAUGCAAAUGAUAAUGCUAGGUUGUAUGGCGAGAAAACGAGAAUUCGUGAGAGACAACCAGACCCUUGAAUCAGUAAAAGAAUAUGUCUAUCUAGGAAAAAUAUUAACAGGGGAGCCCACUCCUUUAGUGAAAAUUCAUUAAGCAAUAAAGAUGGCCUCGUUCACGUAUCUCAGGCACUCGCAACUCCCGAGCGGUAACUGACCAUUGUCACUAAAGUGCACACUGUACAGCCAUUGUAGUUCCUCCG
rnacentral:lncRNA from 1 species